AAAACGACUCUCGGCAACGGAUAUCUCGGCUCUCGCAUCGAUGAAGAACGUAGCGAAAUGCGAUACUUGGUGUGAAUUGCAGAAUCCCGUGAACCAUCGAGCCUUUGAACGCAAGUUGCGCCCCAAGCCUUCUGGCCGAGGGCACGUCUGCCUGGGUGUCACAA
rnacentral:rRNA from 1 species